rnacentral:rRNA from 1 species
GAUGAUGCCCAGCUUGCUGGGCGGAUUAGUGGCGAACGGGUGAGUAAUACGUGAGUAACCUGCCCUUGACUCUGGGAUAAGCCUGGGAAACUGGGUCUAAUACUGGAUACUACCUCUUACCGCAUGGUGGGUGGUGGAAAGGGUUUUACUGGUUUUGGAUGGGCUCACGGCCUAUCAGCUUGUUGGUGGGGUAAUGGCUCACCAAGGCGACGACGGGUAGCCGGCCUGAGAGGGUGACCGGCCACACUGGGACUGAGACACGGCCCAGACUCCUACGGGAGGCAGCAGUGGGGAAUAUUGCACAAUGGGCGGAAGCCUGAUGCAGCGACGCCGCGUGAGGGAUGACGGCCUUCGGGUUGUAAACCUCUUUCAGUAGGGAAGAAGCGAGAGUGACGGUACCUGCAGAAGAAGCGCCGGCUAACUACGUGCCAGCAGCCGCGGUAAUACGUAGGGCGCAAGCGUUGUCCGGAAUUAUUGGGCGUAAAGAGCUCGUAGGCGGUUUGUCGCGUCUGCUGUGAAAGCCCGGGGCUCAACCCCGGGUCUGCAGUGGGUACGGGCAGACUAGAGUGCAGUAGGGGAGACUGGAAUUCCUGGUGUAGCGGUGAAAUGCGCAGAUAUCAGGAGGAACACCGAUGGCGAAGGCAGGUCUCUGGGCUGUUACUGACGCUGAGGAGCGAAAGCAUGGGGAGCGAACAGGAUUAGAUACCCUGGUAGUCCAUGCCGUAAACGUUGGGCACUAGGUGUGGGGGACAUUCCACGUUUUCCGCGCCGUAGCUAACGCAUUAAGUGCCCCGCCUGGGGAGUACGGCCGCAAGGCUAAAACUCAAAGGAAUUGACGGGGGCCCGCACAAGCGGCGGAGCAUGCGGAUUAAUUCGAUGCAACGCGAAGAACCUUACCAAGGCUUGACAUUCACCGGACCGCCCCAGAGAUGGGGUUUCCCUUCGGGGCUGGUGGACAGGUGGUGCAUGGUUGUCGUCAGCUCGUGUCGUGAGAUGUUGGGUUAAGUCCCGCAACGAGCGCAACCCUCGUUCUAUGUUGCCAGCACGUGAUGGUGGGGACUCAUAGGAGACUGCCGGGGUCAACUCGGAGGAAGGUGGGGAUGACGUCAAAUCAUCAUGCCCCUUAUGUCUUGGGCUUCACGCAUGCUACAAUGGCCGGUACAAAGGGUUGCGAUACUGUGAGGUGGAGCUAAUCCCAAAAAGCCGGUCUCAGUUCGGAUUGAGGUCUGCAACUCGACCUCAUGAAGUCGGAGUCGCUAGUAAUCGCAGAUCAGCAACGCUGCGGUGAAUACGUUCCCGGGCCUUGUACACACCGCCCGUCAAGUCACGAAAGUUGGUAACACCCGAAGCCGGUGGCCUAACCCCUUGUGGGAGGGAGCCGUCGA